AUUGAACGCUGGCGGCAUGCCUUACACAUGCAAGUCGAACGGCAGCACGGGUGCUUGCCCCUGGUGGCGAGUGGCGAACGGGUGAGUAAUACAUCGGAACAUGUCCUGUAGUGGGGGAUAGCCCGGCGAAAGCCGGAUUAAUACCGCAUACGAUCUACGGAUGAAAGCGGGGGACCUUCGGGCCUCGCGCUAUAGGGUUGGCCGAUGGCUGAUUAGCUAGUUGGUGGGGUAAAGGCCUACCAAGGCGACGCUCAGUAGCUGGUCUGAGAGGACGACCAGCCACACGGGGACUGAGACACGGCCCAGACUCCUACUGGAGGCAGCAGUGGGGAAUUUUGGACAAUGGGCGAAAUCCUGAUCCAGCAAUGCCGCGUGUGUGAAGAAGGCCUUCGGGUUGUAAAGCACUUUUGUCCGGAAAGAAAUCCUUGGCCCUAAUACGGUCGGGGGAUGACGGUACCGGAAGAAUAAGCACCGGCUAACUACGUG
rnacentral:rRNA from 1 species